AUUGAACGCUGGCGGCAUGCCUUACACAUGCAAGUCGAACGGUAACAGGUCUUCGGAUGCUGACGAGUGGCGAACGGGUGAGUAAUACAUCGGAACGUGCCUAGUAGUGGGGGAUAACUACUCGAAAGAGUGGCUAAUACCGCAUGAGAUCUACGGAUGAAAGCAGGGGAUCGCAAGACCUUGUGCUACUAGAGCGGCCGAUGGCAGAUUAGGGAGUUGGUGGGAUAAAAGCUUACCAAGCCGACGAUCUGUAGCUGGUCUGAGAGGACGAUCAGCCACACUGGGACUGACACACGGCCCAGACUCCUACGGGAGGCAGCAGUGGGGAAUUUUGGACAAUGGGCGAAAGCCUGAUCCAGCAAUGCCGCGUGCAGGAUGAAGGCCUACGGGUUGUAAACUGCUUUUGUACGGAACGAAAAGCCCCGGGUUAAUACCCUGGGGUCAUGACGGUACCGUAAGAAUAAGCACCGGCUAACUACGUGCCAGCAGCCGCCGCAG
rnacentral:rRNA from 1 species